rnacentral:rRNA from 1 species
UCUGGUUGACCCUGCCAGUAGCAUAUGCUUGUCUCUGAGACUAAGCCAUGCAUGUCUAAGUAUAAAUUAAUUUUUACGGUGAAACUGCGGACGGCUCAUUAAAUCAGUUAUAACCUACUUGAUCGUGUGACUUUAUUCGGAUAACCCUAGUAAUUCUAGAGCUAAUACGUGCUAAAAGCCUUAACUUCCAGCAAUGGGGGAAGAAGUGUAUUUAUUAGAAACUAAAACCAAUCAGCUUCGGCUGUUUGAGAUGAUUCAUAAUAACUCGGCAAAUUACGGGAAAAUUCCUGUGAUGAUUCAAACGGAUUUCUGACCUAUCAACUUUAGAUGGCAAAGUAGGGGUUUGCCAUGGUGACAACGGGUGACGGGGAAUUAGGGUUCGAUUCCGGAGAGGGAGCCUGAGAAACGGCUACCACUUCCGAGGAAGGCAGCAGGCGCGCAAAUUACCCAAUGCUAAUUCGGCGAGGUAGUGACAAGAAAUACCAAUGUAGGACCCAACGGGUACUACGUUUGGAAUGAGAACAAUUUAAAAACCUUAACGAGGAACAAUUGGAGGGCAAGUCUGGUGCCAGCAGCCGCGGUAAUUCCAGCUCCAAUAGUGUAUAUUAAAGUUGCUGCGGUUAAAAAGCUCGUAGUUGGAUUACGAAGUGGUGUUUAAAUGUCAUUUUGGUUUGUUUGUCUUUCGGGGCAUUCAGGUCAACUUGGCUUUUACUCACUGUUGUCAUUGUCUUUGCCCAAGGUAUAUGCCUUGUGUGCAUGGCAUUGACCUUCUAUUUUAUGGUAAUGUUGUAUCUUUCGGGGUACAUUCAUUCCAUAUAGUUUACUUUGAAAAAAUUAGGGUGUUUAAAGCAGGCGAAAAGGCUUCGGAAUAUAUUAGCAUGGGAUAAUAGAAUACGAUCUAGGUCGUAAUUUGUUGGUUUCUACGGCUUAGGUAAUGAUUGACAGGGAUAGUUGGGGUCGCUCGUAUUGAGUUGUCAGAGGUGAAAUUCUAGGAUUAACUCAAGACGAACUAAUGCGAAAGCAUUCGGCAAGGAUGUUUUCAUUAAUCAAGAACGAAAGUUGGGGGAUCGAAGAUGAUCAGAUACCGUCGUAGUCUCAACUGUAAACUAUGUCGACCGAGGAUCCGGUAGCGUUACAUGGAUGACCUUCCGGGCACUCUGUGAGAAAUCAUAAGUAUUUGGAUUUCGGGGGGAGUAUGGUCGCAAGGCUGAAACUUAAAGGGAUUGACGGAAGGGCACCACCAGGAGUGGAAUCUGCGGCUUAAUUUGACCCAACACGGGAAAACUUACCAGGUCCGGACACAGUGAGGAUUGACAGAUUGAGAGCUCUUUCUUGAUUUUGUGGGUGGUGGUGCAUGGCCGUUUUUAGUUGGUGGAGUGAUUUGUCUGGUUAAUUCCGUUAACGAACGAGACCUUAACCUAUUAAAUAGCUGCGCGAACCCAGGUUCUUUAACCAUUCUCUCCUUCGGGGGGGCGUGGUAUCAUUAUUUUGCUG